AGCAGCUUCGUUUGUACCCUGCCCUAUCUAUCUCCCCCUGGGGACUCAGGUCAGCUUCCAACAUAGUAACAGGCAAACAUAUAAUGCCUACAUAAACAAUGCAGAGCUAGAUAUAGAUCUAUCAUUGUAUAUACUAAUUUCACAUGUGUAUUUCCCCCUGAAACCUUUGCAAAUCCUCUCUCUAUGUGCAUUUUCCUCCUGCAAUAUUUCCAAGCCCGAUUUAUCGAUGUUUAUAUCUAUCUAGACAUCUGUGUAUCUGUGUGCGCACGCACAUGCGCAUUUUCCCUCUGCACUUGCAAACAUGUGAGGGUAAAAUUCAUAUAAAAUUAAUAUAUAAAAUUAAUGUAUACAUUUAGGAACACAUAUAUACAGGUACAUGGAAAUCUCUAGUUAUCUAUAUUUACAUAGGAUGUUAUGGUUGAGCCUUCUGGCUCUGGUACUAGGAGACGUGGUCGUAAAACUCCUCGAGAGUCAGACUCUUUUGAGGAGCGUGAAAGGAAACGGCUCCGGGACUUAUUUGCAGAACCAACAGAUGAAGACUCAUUUGAGGGUUUUACCGAGGGAAUGGAGGAAGAGAUGGUUAGAUCAGAGGAGGAUGACAUGGAGUGGACUCGUGUGAGGGAGGAUUUGGGUGUCACCGGCAAUGAUAGCAUGGGAGGCAAUUGGCGGGUUGCAGGAUCAGACCCAUGGACGGGCUGGAGGGAUAGAGCGGGAUCCACAGCUGGGGAUGCUGUGGGGCGUAGUCAAAGGUGUUUUAGCUCUGAUGAGGAUGAUGAUGAUGAGGCACCUGGAAUUAGGAUAGCAGCUGACAGCGAUGAGGAGUUAUGAACUGGGAUAAAAUGGGGUUUAGGAUCAAUGGCUAAUUGCGUUGGGCAAGGUAAUCUGGACGAACGCUUGGGCUCUUGUUGGGGAACUUCCUGAAGACUGGUGUGAUUCGUUGCUGGAUACCUUGGACCUCCGUCGUCUUUUUGACGGACAUUAAUUACCUACUCUGGAUUGACGCUGGACUGACUGACUGACUACGACCCUGGACUAUCCCUUCUGUGGCUAUCAGUGGAACUUGUGGACGUCUGCACUUGGCUUUCGACCUUGGACCGGAUUGGGACCCAUGCUGACCGUCAUUACCCUGAUUGAUGUGCCUGGACCCGGAUUUCGCUCGUUGCACGGAGGAGUAAACAGCCUGAGUUACUCAUCUGUAGCUUUUGAGUAGCAGAGAGGAAUCUGCUGCCAGUUUUUUGUGUUCAUUUUGACCUCUGUUUUCCAACUUUUGUUUGUUUAAAUUGUCAGGCUGAAGUAAGCACUUUUGUUUGUAAACAGGAGUUUAAUCCGGUUUAU